rnacentral:lncRNA from 1 species
UUUCUGUUGUCGGUUUGGACGCUUCAAAUGGCUGUAUCAACGACAAUUGUCCUACUAUCGACCAUGCAUCGCAAUCUGCUCCUGGCUCACCUGGUCACCUGAGCAGAGCCAGUGACUCCGGAGGCGGUGAACAUUCUGCUGGUGGCGCGGAUGAUUGGAUAUUAGUUGAUACUAGGUGUGAUCAUAUACCAUUUUCAAAAGUGCCUGAUGAGGGUGUGAUGGGUCACUCAAUUGGGUAUGAGUCAGUGAAUGUAAGUCGGAUACAUG